GCUUUUGAUAGCUUAGUUGGCAGAGCGGAGGACUGUAGCUAUCCUUAGGUCGUUGGUUCAAAUCACGAAUUU